rnacentral:rRNA from 1 species
CAUAGCCCUUGAAAAUAUCAAAGGUGUAACCUGCCCAAUGAUUUUUGAUUUAAAAAUAAUAAAAAUAUUUAAAAAAAAUUUAAAGGACGCGGUAACCUUGACUGUGAUAAUGUAGCAUAAUCACUCGCCAUUUAAUUGAUGGAUAGUAUGAACGGUUGYACGAAUAUUACACURUCUAAAAAAUAGAUCUCAUAAAAAUGAAAUAAUAGUYAAGAUGCUAUUUAAAAUUGUAAGACGAAAAGACCCUAUAGAGCUUAACUAUAAUCUUUUUUCUAUGAAUAAAAAWAWUUUUUAUAUAAAGAAAGAUUGGUAGUUUAGUUGGGGCGACUAUUUUUUAAAAUAAACAAAAAUAAGCAAUAUUAAUAAAAUAAUUUAUUGUAUAAUAAACAAAUUUAACAAUUACUAAAGUAGGCUAUAAUGACCCGUUAUUAUUAUAUAAUAAAAAUAACGAUUAAUGAAUAAAAGCUACCUUAGGGAUAACAGGAUAAUUUUAUCUAAGAGUUCUUAUCAAAGAUAAAGUUUGUCACCUCUAUGUUGAAUUAAGAUAUCCAGAUAGUGCAGAAGCUAUCAAAGGUAGGUCUGUUCGACCUUUAAAAUCUUACAUGAUUU